AAGGGAGCUUGCUCCUGAGGUGACGAGCGGCGGACGGGUGAGUAAUGCCUAGGGAUCUGCCCAGUCGAGGGGGAUAACAGUUGGAAACGACUGCUAAUACCGCAUACGCCCUACGGGGGAAAGGAGGGGACCUUCGGGCCUUCCGCGAUUGGAUGAACCUAGGUGGGAUUAGCUAGUUGGUGAGGUAAUGGCUCACCAAGGCGACGAUCCCUAGCUGUUCUGAGAGGAUGAUCAGCCACACUGGGACUGAGACACGGCCCAGACUCCUACGGGAGGCAGCAGUGGGGAAUAUUGCACAAUGGGGGAAACCCUGAUGCAGCCAUGCCGCGUGUGUGAAGAAGGCCUUCGGGUUGUAAAGCACUUUCAGUAGGGAGGAAAGGUAAUAGUUUAAUAAACUAUUACUGUGACGUUACCUACAGAAGAAGGACCGGCUAACUCCGUGCCAGCAGCCGCGGUAAUACGGAGGGUCCGAGCGUUAAUCGGAAUUACUGGGCGUAAAGCGUGCGCAGGCGGUUUGUUAAGCCAGAUGUGAAAUCCCCGGGCUCAACCUGGGAAUUGCAUUUGGAACUGGCGAACUAGAGUCUUGUAGAGGGGGGUAGAAUUCCAGGUGUAGCGGUGAAAUGCGUAGAUAUCUGGAGGAAUACCGGUGGCGAAGGCGGC
rnacentral:rRNA from 1 species